UUCUCGCGCAACGAAACCGUCUCCGCCUCCCGUCCUUCCUCGUUUUCCUGUUUGUUUCUUCGUGCCUUCGCUUGCUCUGCCACGCAACCGGCGCCGUUGCCCACUCCCUCUCGCAGCCGAUCUCCUUCCCUGUUCGGAUCACCUCUGACCACUACCAGCCAUGACUCAAAAACUGCUGUUGGCGGAGGGCCUUGACCUGCUGCGCCAGUGCGAGCAGCGCGAGUACGACGUGGAUCGGACGAAGCUUCGCAUCAGCAGCAGCAGCCGCUACCGCAGCGAGCUUGGCCGGCUGCUGCAGAGCUACGACACGGUGUAUCAUCAAUACGUGCGUGGCAUCCAGAUCUUGAACUACGUGCGCCACACAGCCCUCGCGGACAAGAACCCCCAAAACGCGCAAUACUCCAAGAACCUGUCAGAGUUCUGCGCUGCUAAGAUCACGGCGUACAUGACGCGGUGCAGCAACAUCAUUCGCAAGACUGACAGCAUUCUCGUGCCCAUCGAGCAGAUCGACCUCAUCACAAAGGAGGGCUACACCCCGGAGGACACCGUCUAUCUGCAGGACGGCAUCACGUACCCGCUGUCGCGGAAGGAGAAAAUCAUAGCGAAGGAGUUCACGCUCACGGCCGGCACGUACGUCCUGACGCUCAAAAACCGUGACGACUACACGCUGGCGGCGCCGGAGGUGGACGUGACGCUCGUGGUCUUGCCUCAGCGCGGCAGCGGUCUUGAGCCGUCGCGCGUGGAGAUGAAGUUGCCGUGCCAGUGUGGGUGGCGCAAGGUGGUCGGCGUCGUGGAUGUGGCGACGGUGCAGCUGGAGAUUCGCUACAGCGGCAUCCGCGAUGCGCACAUCGACGUGCUCUUCCAAAAAUGGUGCGCCAUCGAGGACAUCGGCCGCUCUGGCGGCGCGGCAAGCGGCCCCGGCCCAGCGCUGUCGCCGUCGACCUUCGACAGCGGUGACUGCAACUCGGUAUGCAAACCGCCGCCGAACCGCGGCGGCAACGGCGGCGCUGCGGGCGGCGUCUCCCAUCACUCGUGCACACCCACCAAUGUAUCGGCAAGUGACGCGGGGGCGCCGGCGCACCAGCAGCCGCAGCAGUGGGUGAACAGUCUUCCGCAGCUGCCGGAUGAUGAGCUGGCGACGCUGGCGAACUACAACGUGCCCUCUGCGAGUCUACCAAGGGUGUCGGACCGCCCCGCCAACGACAGUGAAGCUGCUUCGUCGGCAGCCCCCUCCUCGGCCGAGGAUCCAUGGACAACGCUCGCCAAUCUCAACGUCCCGUACGCGCCAACGACGCGCAACGCGCCGAGUGCGGCGUCCGUCAUGCGCGUGCCAGAGCCGGUGGAGGUGAACCCGGCCGGCAUGACGUGUCGCCAGCGGCUCGACAAGAUCCACCAGCUAAUGGAUGCGUGGCCGUCGAUCGGCGUGGUCGCCUGCGCGCUGCCGGCUGAGCCGCAAAGUUUUAUGCAGGGCGUCCACGCCCUGCCUUUUCCGCGCGAGCUCUCAGCGUAAGCUCUCGAAGAGUGGAAGGGCGUCGCACAUAUGCGCGUCUUGCGUGCUCGCUCUGCUGCCUCGCUCCUUCUCCGUAUUCCGCUCGGCCCCUCACCUACCGAGGGGAGGGGGGCGUCACAGGGUUCACCACCCCACACUCUGCGUGGGGAAGCCAGGUAGCCUGCAGCCGGCCGUCGGGCACGGCUGGGCGGGCUCUUGGUGACGGUGGACAGGUGGUCUGAGCUGGAGCUGUGCGGAAGAGACCUGCGGACAUGACCGCGUUCGGAGAAGCUCACCACGAAUCGCGUGGACGGCGCACCAUGUGUACCCACCCACUCCUUCUGCCGCGUCAGAUGCAUUUCGGGCGGUGCUGGGUGGGCUCGGUAUCGUUGACAUAGCCGUUUUGCAGCGGAGGCCGAUGAGCUGUGUCUGCCCAUGCACCUGUAUUUUUGUUGACGUGCUCGUGGUGGUGGCUGCAUGGACACGUCGGUGUGUGUGUGUGUGUGGCGGACAGGAAAAGGAUGGUUGCCCUCUUCGCUUACUACAGCGUCGACUAAAUCGUUGCUUGUGUGCACCACCGCUCUCGCCUUGCGUGGCAUGUAGGUGCAGUGGACGACGAGCGACGGUGAUGCUGAGCCUCAGGCGAUGUGUGCUCACUCAUGCAUGCGUGUGCAUUGUCGCGCCAUCUCUCUCUCUCCUCCGUCGAUCGCCCUCUGGGUGGAUGUCGUAUAUAUCUCCUCCAGCCUUCCCUCUCGCCCGUUGCCCCUCGUGCGGUAUUCCGUGCCCGCCGGCGUUCAGCAGUCACUGUGUAUGCUGCGAGCCUCAUCUGGCAAGGGAGCGGAAGAGGGGGGGCGGAUUCACUUCACCGCGCGUGAAAACGGGGCAGAUGCGCGUGUACGCGGCGCGUAUAUGCAUGCAGCAGGAGAGGAGACGGCAGCAACACACGCGCUAGGCGAGGGGGGUGUGCAGAUAGAGCUACACACACACGCACAUGAUCAUGGCUGGCGUACUCCGUCAUGUGCAGACGGAAAGAACAAGUCUUCCUUCAUGGUUUGCUCUUGUCCACCUCCAUGCCCGUCACGCGGCUGCCCUGGUGCACCUCUCUCCCUCUCGCUGAGCGCUCUCCCCCUUUUCGUUCCGCUGUGCGGCGGUGCGCGUUGAUGUGCGUUGAUCUCUGCUGCGUUGCAUCUUAAACAUAGGUAUUUUCGUUGUCGCUUCGUUUUCGUUCGUAAUCCCCACGCACCGCGACGGCGCCCGUGCCGUCUGUGCGACUGUGAGCCGUUCUGCUUCCGGGGCUUUCGCGGUGGAGCGACCAUGCUUCUCCCCCUACCUUCGUCGCUCUUGCGGAUGUGUUCUCCUUCACGUUCGCUGCCGCUGCGCCAUUGCUCUCCCUCAGCACCAUAGCGGGUGCGUGUGCGUCUGUGUGGGCAGCGCCGAUCUGUCUUGGACCGAAGAGUCCGCCACGUCUCCUCAGAGAGACCUGCGCUCACGGCACAGAGGGUUUGCGAGCGUCCGCUCAUCCGAUCGCGGUGCUGAGAGAGAGCGCGCAGUGGCAGCGCCAACAACCUUCCUCUCAAAAAAAAACCGCGUGACGUGAUGUGAUGCUGUGCCACAGCGACGGUCGUUCCCCUUGCACCCUCUUCACCCUCCGCGCUGCGACUGUGCCACUGCCCACCCUUCCUUUCUCCCGCCCUCGAACACGGACAUCAUCCCUGCUCUGGUGCCGUCACCCGAUGCUUUCUCCUCCUCUUCUGCGGUCGUUCGGCCUCCGCCCUCACCGGGCACACACGCAUGCACGUGUACGCGUUCCACUGACUCGGCGACUUCUCUGCGCUAUGCCGCCGCACUGCCCCCCACCCCCCUCCCCAG
rnacentral:misc_RNA from 1 species